rnacentral:tRNA from 1 species
GGGCACGUGGCGCAACGGUUAGCGCAUCUGAUUCCAGCGUUGUGUUCUUCGCUUCCAGAAGGUUAUCCGUUCAAAUCGGGUCGAGCUCA